GUGGAGGCAAUGCCCAGAGCUGUGGCAGCCACCUUGCAGCCGUGAAGCACCAGUGGGAAUGACAGUCAAGAGAACCACGGAGAUGCCAGCCCCUGGACCCACAGCAGCAGCACCUGCUUCCAGACUCAGAGUGUGAGAAAAAAAUAAACUCCUAUUUGUUUAUGGCAAGUUUCCUGCGGCUGUCUGCACACCCAGACCAGAGCAGUUCCUGCCUUUGCGCUUUGCACCAUUUUCCUUGGUGAACUUCUAUUCAUCCUUCAAAGCCCAGCAGUAAUCAUCCUUUAGAAAGUCUUCUUUCAGAGGGAACCAAAAAGAAUGGGGAGAAUUGUGCCUGCCCAGCCUCCUCCUUGGGGACUCCAGGGGCCCAAAGAACCAAGAGCUGCAAAUGUCCUGGUGGCCUUGGAAGUUUAUGGAUGGUACAGAUCUGGGGUGGAGGGCAUGGCCAGGACAGGGAGGGCUGUCAGAGAGAGGGUCUGUGGGUUUGUGGAGUGUGGGGAUCAGUCGCUGACUCAUUAGAUGAACCAGGAGCCUGCAUGCUACAGCCCACCUGCCAAAUCUUGCCCCCACCUGCUUUUUAAAAUAAAGUUUUAUUGGAACAUGG
rnacentral:lncRNA from 1 species